UUAGUACUCCCUCUGUCCGAAAAAGUUUGUCCCUUAAAUAAAUGUAUUUAGCAUCAAGUUAGUGCUAGAUACAUCUAUUUGAGGGACAAACUUGGGACAAGUUUUUUUGAACGAAGGGAGUAGUAA
rfam:Triticum aestivum genome assembly, contig: Triticum_aestivum_CS42_TGACv1_scaffold_162592_2DL